UACGGAGGGUGCAAGCGUUAUCCGGAUUCACUGGGUUUAAAGGGUGCGUAGGUGGGUUGGUAAGUCAGUGGUGAAAUCUCCGAGCUUAACUUGGAAACUGCCAUUGAUACUAUCAAUCUUGAAUACUGUGGAGGUCAGCGGAAUAUGUCAUGUAGCGGUGAAAUGCUUAGAUAUGACAUAGAACACCAAUUGCGAAGGCAGCUGGCUACACGAAUAUUGACACUGAUGCACGAAAGCGUGGGGAUCAAACAGG
rnacentral:rRNA from 1 species